GAUGGGUGAGUGCACGGACUCGUUAAAGCAAAUCCUCUCCGCGCCAACUCCUCGAGUAAUAGUGCAACAAAUAUUUACGUAAGAUUCAGAAAUGUUCAAAUGGCUGUGUCAAGUGUUAAGAGGCUACAGGCGUGGACAAAUGAUCACCGAUAGAGUCACACAGCAGCGGUCAAACACGCCCUGCAGUAUAAGGCGGGAGACACGAUCGGCGGGUACACGGUGCGCCAGGUUGAAGAAAUCAAAGAACUGCUCCUCGCUGCUGUUCGGCUUUUGGAGGGAAAAAACAGGCGCGGACUUUCUCCACAUCGCCCGUACGAUCGCACCCGCAGUAGGGAUGGAGGCUUGAGCAUACCGAUCCCAAGGACAAAUCUUCACCCAUUGUCAUCAAAGGAGUCGUAUACAAAGAAAUUAAAGGAGUCUGUGCAGCGGCUUCGUCCCGAGUUUCAUUUCCCGCGUUCUUCGCUGCUUCAAGGUUCAAGCAUGCAGGGUUGUGGAUUCUCCGGCUCCUGUCAAAGGAUUGCACGAGCCAGUACACUCGGCCAAGGACAUUAAGCAGAUGUGGUCGUUACUGUUUAAGAAGCAACAUCUUUUCCACAGGUUUCCAAGGCAGGGUGAGCUGAGAGAAGAGUGGGCCCUAGCCGUGUGCCGCUCACCUGCGUGGGCACCAUCACAAUGGAGCGUUGUUUGCUCGGAGCACUUCGGCCAUGGUGAUCUUGCGAGCGGUACCAAAGGCCAGGGUCACUUGAUGGUGAAUGCAGUACCAUCGCUUGCGGGCCCCACUAAGACGCUUGCAAAGGUUGAUGCUACAGCUAUGAGACAACCUUCAAGUGAAGCAGCUUGAUCCACGGGAACAUCACAGAAUCAAGAUGAGGCAGCAGGUCUCUCUGAAGCGACAACAGACAUGGACAUCUCCGAGGGCUCGUCAGAUGUGCUAGCAGAGGGUGCUGCUACAACUGCCAGCUCGUCCUUCGCUGAUUCAGACAUUGCUGAUGAGCCUUCCGAAAUCCAACAUGUCCUGUCUCCCAGUCGAAGGCCUACCAGCACGCUUGAGGGUGACGCUUCGGCAGCACUGCCUAUGCAUAGCCCAGCGACACCUCGAACAGCAAGGCAUACUACGCCACAGCCAGCAGAAGACUCGCCUGAAAAGGCCUUUCUGAGGCACAAAGUGAGGCUUUACUCGCAAUUGCAAAGUUGUGAUGGAAAAAAGUUUCAUGGAUAUGUUGACAUGGGCAUUGAUGUCAAUGAUGACAGCUUUCUUGUUGCCAAAGAUGCAUUUGUUUUAUUGCUUGUUGCAAUCAAUGGCAGAUGGAAGCUGCCGAUUGGCUACUUUCUAGUGAUGGCCUUGGCAGUGAGCGAGGCGCAAUUUGGUGCUGCAAGCUGCUGGCUUCGCUCACGAAAAAGGUGCACACAUUGUGAGUUUGACAUGCGAUGGCGCUGCAGCAAAUUUGUCAAUGCUGCGCAGCCUUGGCUGCAAGAUGGACCUGACUGAGCUGGAUGCUUCUUUUCCGCAUCCAGUGACAAAAAAGCCUGUCUUUGCCAUGUUGGGUCCCUGUCACAUGUUGAAGCUGCUGCGGAACACCGUGUGUGAUAACAAGGCUAUUGUUCAUACGAACGAACAGUUCAUAUUGUUGAAAUACAUUGAUGAGCUGCAUGAAAUUCAGUACACAGAAGGCCCACAUUUGGCAAACAAACUUAGACCAGGCACAUGUUAAUUUAAAAAAACCAGCCCAUAAAAGUCUCCUUGGCAGCUCAAAUCUUUAGUCAAUCGGUAGCAGAUGCUCUUGGUGAAUACAGAGCUCGAAAAAUCCCAAAAUUUUCAAAUUCCUUGCCAACAGAAGAGUAUCAUAUAUGUCAACAACGCAUUUGACAUUUUAAAUUCAAGACAUCCAAGGCAAGAAGGAUGGAAAAGGCCACUGUGUCCUGAAAAUGUGACUCGUGUCACUGAGUAUGUCAAGGAACUGAAGGCCUACUUUUGCUCACUCAGGUAGUCUGCAGCUGGUAAACUAAUGACAGAGACCAACCGAAAGACAGGCUUCAUUGGCUUUAUGGUGUGCUUAGACAAUGCCAUCCAUCUAUACAACCACUUGGUUACAGAAAAUGGCCUAUUGGCAUAUCUUCCGACCUCCAAGCUCAGUCAGGACCACCUCGAGCUAUUUUUUGCUGCAAUAAGAUCAUUUGGGCGCUGCAAUGACAACCGAACAGCAAAGCAGUUUGCAGUAGCAUUCAAGCGUCUGAUAGUCAGAGAAGCCCUGCAGCCAGUGAACCAGUCACGGAAGCAAUUUUACAAGAUCGUGGCUACUCUGCCGACCCAGGCAGGGUGUCUGAGCUUGGAGAUGCAAUUGUUGCGCACAUAGCCGGGUUUGUAGUUCGCAGCUUACUGCUUCACCUCCAGUGCGAUGAGUGUGCUUCUGCACUAAAGGUGUCAACUCCUCCAUCCAUGCCUGCAUAUUCCCUGAUUCGUCAAAAAUCGAGUGGUGGACUGAUCUACACUUCAAAUGAUGUUCUGAACAUUUGCAGACAAUGUGAGAAAGCUGCGUAGGGCUCUGGUGAGCUCGCCACUACCAUCCCAAAGGCUUGCAGCUAAAGUUGCAAUGGCCACUAUGACAACCUUUGUCGGCAAGGACUUCAUUAAAGUGUUAGAUCAGCACAUGCUUGAAAAUCACCCGCUUGAAUGCCACUCAUCCCAUCUUGUGAGGGCAAUCAUAGAUAAGUACCUAGAUGUGAGACUGCGCUACGUUGCCAAGAUGACAAUGGAAUGUCUCCAUCAGGAAAGAAUUGGGCAAAAGCUCACAAAGCUGAUGUAGUUCAAGGGCCAAUAAAUCUAGAAAGUCUUGCAAAUUUUUAUACUAUCAUUGGCCAAUUAUUUACAACUAUUCUAAAUUUUUUACGUCAAAGCGCAUGGCCUACAUGUUAGUUUAAAGGCUUCACAGGCAAACACCACACAGUGGUUAUCAACCAUGUUGUAUAUAUUGGAGGGUUAGGGGUAAAUCGGACCACUUGAGCUUUUUCAUUUGGCAGCCGAAUAGUAGACUGGUCUUUUUGAAUGUUGCCACAACAAUGUGUGGCCGCUAAGGUGAGGAUAGUGCCUGCAACCUUGUGCAGAGGAGCAGGAUCCCUUUUGCUCAAUUAAAUUUUUUUCGUUUAAUCAUCCACUGUUUAGGACCGACUGGUCUUGGUGAUAUCAUAAGCAGGGCACUGCUUAGAUCACUGAGAGUGCAAAAAGGAAUAGUAUUGAAUUAGAAUGGUUACAUUAUCGUGAACAUGACAGCAUAGUUCCACAAGCGAUGUGCCGCCAUGGCAGUCAGUUGACAUGGUGAACCAAGCUGGUGCCUUGUGUAGAGAAAUACAAACCUCGCAUUCAUGUUGGUCAUUUGCUUUGGCUGCACGCUGACAAAGCAUAGUUAGGGUGCAUGAACCUUUCCAACCUGUCAUUGGCAAGUAGCACUGUGGGUAGAAUACACCUGACUCAUCACGCAAUAAGUUAAAAUUCCGAAGCAAUACAUGGGCUCUAAGAGAUACCAUAGUGGCGGGCUCUGGAUUAAUUUUGACUGCCUGGAGGUUCCUCGGCAUGCAUCUAACUCAAGUACACAACCACAUUUGCAUUCUGCUCUCACAGGAAUGCAACUGCAUCUGGGAAUCAGACCCGCAACUUUGCACUCAUGAAGCACUAUUGCCACUGAGCCACCAUUACUUGUCUUAUUUAGCUGCUGUGACUCGCAGUACAGGAAAAACUGCUACACAAAUUUCCUCGCGGUUCAAUUAUGUUCAUGAUGGCUCACACAAUUAAUUCCUUUAUCUAUCAACUUCGGCAGUCCCACCAGGUUCUGUGUUAAGGCCUUUGUUUUUUUAGUAACUUUGUAAAGCGCAUAUAUUGUUCAAGAGAGUUGUAUGCAGACAUCAAACUUUUUUAGGGGAGAAAUAUGAUGCCUUAUUGUAUAUUGUGCAAGUACAUGCUUCUUGUCUUGCUGAAUGCUGUAGGUUGAAUCACCUGCUUGCAAAUUCUGCCUAAACAAUUGUUCUGUUCAGCAUCAAGCUAAACAGUAUGGACAAUGACAAUUGGUUAGCUGGCCUGCCUUUCACUAGAGCAAACUGUGCGAUGACAUGGGCAUGCUAUGAAUGCCCUCAAUGCAUUACGCGUGAGCUAAGUAUACUCUUGAGGAUGACAAUGUAUUUUUCAAAGUUUGAUCCUGUAUGCCUUUUACCUGACCUUUGUGGAAAUUUGCCUCCAUCACUUGGAAUACCGUUGGUUUUACUACUUUCAAAAUAAUUUAAUGUGCUCACUUUGUUUACUUGCUUUACAGUAGCCUUUUAUGAGGCCAGAUUCACUGUAACCAUGAACAUUUGGUGUAUACGACUCAAUGGGUGAUUUAAAUACCGUGAAAUAUUAAUUCAUUUGAGGUUCACAACGACAUGGAGCCGUCGCCUCUUAAUUUUGCGGUGUGUUGGCUGAGCUUCGACGGUUCUAAUUUUUUUGUAGUUAUGUGAUAAAACAUAAGCUUUGUAGUACAUUUUACUUGCAGCAAAAUUCAUUGUAUUUUAAUGUUGACAUACUUAGUUUGUGGCUCUCACCUCGCAUCAAUUUUUUCGUCUGACUUUGUGGACUACCAUUCUUUUUUUUCUCGAUUUCUGAAUAUUUAUUGCCUAUUUUUCUGACAUGCACCAUCACCAAACCCUUUCAAUCAUUGUGAGUACAUCGCAGAUAUAAAUAUUGUACAAUUAUAACCUUGUAGCGAAGAUAUUGCAUACAGGGCAUUUGUCAGCUAAACUGCAGCGACAUUCAAGGAUAGCUGAUCCCAUUGAAGAGUUUUAUUAAAGGUAUCAAUACUAUAUGUGAUAUAGUUUACUUUGUAUAACAUUAUUUUAUACAAAUGUCCUGUUGCAUACAAGUAUGAUGACUUAUACUGAUACCAUAGAGCUGAGGCACAAUAAGUUUUCCUACAUGUUCAUAAUCUUCUUUUGUGUAUACUCUGCAAUGUACUUCAUUUAUAUUAUAAAUGUGAAAUAUAAUAUAAUAUUAUAAAUUUGUGUGAAAUCGUUUGGCUUCUAUAGGUGCAAUAAACAUUGAAUAAAGAA